AGUGAACGCUGGCGGUAGGCCUAACACAUGCAAGUCGAACGGCAGCACAGUAAGAGCUUGCUCUUACGGGUGGCGAGUGGCGGACGGGUGAGGAAUGCAUCGGAAUCUACUCUGUCGUGGGGGAUAACGUAGGGAAACUUACGCUAAUACCGCAUACGACCUACGGGUGAAAGCAGGGGAUCUUCGGACCUUGCGCGAUUGAAUGAGCCGAUGCCCGAUUAGCUAGUUGGCGGGGUAAGAGCCCACCAAGGCGACGAUCGGUAGCUGGUCUGAGAGGAUGAUCAGCCACACUGGAACUGAGACACGGUCCAGACUCCUACGGGAGGCAGCAGUGGGGAAUAUUGGACAAUGGGCGCAAGCCUGAUCCAGCCAUACCGCGU
rnacentral:rRNA from 1 species